AAGAAAAUGAAGAGAAUAUGCUACAGAUUGCUAGAAUUGGUCUAUUCUUUAUUGUCUUUAUUUUUUUUAUUCAAUA